GACGAACGCUGGCGGCGUGCUUAACACAUGCAAGUCGAACGAUGAAGCGGUGCUUGCACCGUGGAUUAGUGGCGAACGGGUGAGUAAUACGUGAGUGACCUACCUUUGACUCUGGGAUAAGCCUGGGAAACUGGGUCUAAUACCGGAUACGACCAAUCUCUGCAUGGGGUGUUGGUGGAAAGCGUUAUGGAGUGGUUUUAGAUGGGCUCACGGCCUAUCAGCUUGUUGGUGAGGUAAUGGCUUACCAAGACGACGACGGGUAGCCGGCCUGAGAGGGUGACCGGCCACACUGGGACUGAGACACGGCCCAGACUCCUACGGGAGGCAGCAGUGGGGAAUAUUGCACAAUGGGCGCAAGCCUGAUGCAGCGACGCCGCGUGAGGGAUGACGGCCUUCGGGUUGUAAACCUCUGUUAGCAUCGAAGAAGCGAAAGUGACGGUAGGUGCAGAGAAAGCGCCGGCUAACUACGUG
rnacentral:rRNA from 1 species